rnacentral:rRNA from 1 species
UACGGAGGGUGCAAGCGUUAUCCGGAUUCACUGGGUUUAAAGGGUGCGUAGGCGGGCAGGUAAGUCCGUGGUGAAAUCUCUGAGCUUAACUCAGAAACUGCCGUGGAUACUAUUAGUCUUGAAUAUUGUGGAGGUAAGCGGAAUAUGUCAUGUAGCGGUGAAAUGCUUAGAUAUGACAUAGAACACCGAUAGCGAAGGCAGCUUGCUACACAAUCAUUGACACUGAGGCACGAAAGCGUGGGGAUCAAACAGG